CCUACGGGAGGCAGCAGUGAGGGAUAUUGCGCAAUGGGCGAAAGCCUGACGCAGCGACGCCGCGUGGGCGAGGAAGGCCUUCGGGUUGUAAAGCUCUUUCGGCAGGAACGAAACGGCGGACUCUAACAUAGUCUGUCAAUGACGGUACCUGAAGAAGAAGCACCGGCUAACUACGUGCCAGUAGCCGCGGUAAUACGUAGGGUGCGAGCGUUAAUCGGAAUUACUGGGCGUAAAGCGUGCGCAGGCGGCUUUGUAAGACGGAUGUAAAAUCCCUGGGCUUAACCUAGGAACUGCGUUCGUGACUGCAAAGCUAGAGUGCGGCAGAGGGGGGUGGAAUUCCUGGUGUAGCAGUGAAAUGCGUAGAGAUCAGGAGGAACACCGAUGGCGAAGGCGGCCCCCGGGGUUGGCACUGACGCUCAGGCACGAAAGCGUGGGGAGCAAACAGGAUUAGAUCCCCGGGUAGU
rnacentral:rRNA from 1 species